rnacentral:rRNA from 1 species
UAGAGUUUGAUCCUGGCUCAGGACGAACGCUGGCGGCGUGCUUAACACAUGCAAGUCGAACGAUGAACCACUUCGGUGGGGAUUAGUGGCGAACGGGUGAGUAACACGUGGGCAAUCUGCCCUGCACUCUGGGACAAGCCCUGGAAACGGGGUCUAAUACCGGAUACUGAUCCUCGCAGGCAUCUGCGAGGUUCGAAAGCUCCGGCGGUGCAGGAUGAGCCCGCGGCCUAUCAGCUAGUUGGUGAGGUAACGGCUCACCAAGGCGACGACGGGUAGCCGGCCUGAGAGGGCGACCGGCCACACUGGGACUGAGACACGGCCCAGACUCCUACGGGAGGCAGCAGUGGGGAAUAUUGCACAAUGGGCGAAAGCCUGAUGCAGCGACGCCGCGUGAGGGAUGACGGCCUUCGGGUUGUAAACCUCUUUCAGCAGGGAAGAAGCGAAAGUGACGGUACCUGCAGAAGAAGCGCCGGCUAACUACGUGCCAGCAGCCGCGGUAAUACGUAGGGCGCAAGCGUUGUCCGGAAUUAUUGGGCGUAAAGAGCUCGUAGGCGGCUUGUCACGUCGGUUGUGAAAGCCCGGGGCUUAACCCCGGGUCUGCAGUCGAUACGGGCAGGCUAGAGUUCGGUAGGGGAGAUCGGAAUUCCUGGUGUAGCGGUGAAAUGCGCAGAUAUCAGGAGGAACACCGGUGGCGAAGGCGGAUCUCUGGGCCGAUACUGACGCUGAGGAGCGAAAGCGUGGGGAGCGAACAGGAUUAGAUACCCUGGUAGUCCACGCCGUAAACGGUGGGCACUAGGUGUGGGCAACAUUCCACGUUGUCCGUGCCGCAGCUAACGCAUUAAGUGCCCCGCCUGGGG